CUCCUCCGGAGGCUGCCGGGAGCCACGGGGGAGUUUCUGCGGUUCUGUAUGGGAGACGGAGUGAGUUCUGUUUCUUUGUCGGGCCCUGGCGCUGCUGAGGCUGAGAAGCGGCUGCUGUGAGACCUUUUGUGGCUGAGCGAGAGCUGUAGCAGAGCCUCUCAUCGGCCCGAAGCAGUGAGCUCGUGGAAGCGGUGAGUGUUUGAGAGUCGCUCGGUAAGAUCUCUCGUGCUAGGGCUCCUGUAGGGUUGCUGCUCGACUGCCUCUGUCUUUGGGAUCGGCACGGCGCCGCCGCUGGGCUCCCGUGUGGCUUUUUUAGUAGGACCGGCACGGGGCCUCCGCCCGAGACCGAGCACGAUCCCGGGGUGGCCUCGGCCACUGCGGAGUGUUUUGCGGGUGCUCUCACCCAUCCCGUUUCCAGCGGUGGGAGCGAGCAGGUUGGGACCGUGGUUUUAUUUUUUUUUCCCCGCCUCUUCCUUCCCGUGUAACUGCAGGAGCACGAUUUAGGUUCCCACCGUGGAGACCUGGCAGGGCAGCUCGCACGACUGGAGUGCUGUCGUGGAUGGCUGUGUUCCUUUUAGGAAAGACAGACCGGCCAGACGGUGGAGUCUCUCUUCGAGGGAGAGAACGGGAACGUAUCGAGCUCCACCUAGGGGUGAAUGAAGAACCAGCGGAGCGUUUGUGCGUGAGGCUGAAGAGGCAGGUAAAAGUGGGUGACCUGAGUGGUGGUGUUGGUCACAGACCAGGGUGAGGAAGCUGAUAGACCUUCUGCACACAGCUGGAAAUGGUGCCCACAGCUGUGAGGCCAGUUCUCAUGGUAGGCUCCAGGAGUUUCCUGCAAUGUGUCAAAGGUAAGAUUUUCUGUCACAGGUGAUGAAGGAGGCAUUGAGGAGAGGGGCUGCUGGAGCUCCCUAUUGCAGAAGAGCCAUUUGGGGACAGGAAGGCCAGGGGCAGCCUGGAGCGUGCCAGUCGUGAGACCACAGCGUUUGGGAUCUUGUGUGGAAGCUGCAAAGCAAUGAGUAGGAUUGAAACACUGGACUUAGAGGGAGCCAGGUUUGUCCUCUUGAAGGGCCUACUUGGAGGUAACCCUUGCUCAAGCAUAGGAAGGGGUCCCGUGAAUGCUGGAGCAUUACUUCGUCCAUGCUGAGGUGCGCUGUGUCCCAAGGAGGAAGGAACUGCGCAGGAAUGGUGGGGGACCUGCAGGGCUGACUGAGGAACUUGAUGGGGAGAAGGAAGAGAGAGGCUGAGGAAGGCCAAGUCCCUCUGAGUAUCAGCUUUGGGAGGGAGGUCAAGGCUAAUGGAAGUUUGUCAACAGGAGAGACUGGAGAAAUUGCAGGCCUGCGCUUUACAAGGCGGAGGCCUGAGUAAUGAGGCCUGAGGCGGAGGCCUCUUGGGUUCAGUGGUUUCUGCUGAGAGUGCUCCUGGGGAACCUGGGGUCCUGGAGGAGAGAGUCCCUGAGGAAGGAUGUCUUCCCCUCAGUUGCGGAGGAGCUGGUCAAAGGUACCUGAAGACUGGAGGAUGGCGGAUGCCACCGCAGCCUUCAGAAAGGGUGUGGAGGAUGGCGUGUGCAACUUGGAGGUAGGUUGGCCUCAUGUCUGUUUCUGGGGAGGUGACGCAACAGCUUGUUGCAGGUGUCAUUGCCAUGUGACUGGAGGAGAAGGUAUUUGCAAGGAGCAGUCCAGGUGGAUGGACAGAGGGGAAGUCAUGCCGGACCAAAAGGUAGCUUUGUGCAUUGUCUUGAUUGUGCAGUUAGAGGAGAGGAGGGUGGCAGAUAGCAAUGCCUGCUGUGCAGGAGCCCAGUUGACGGGGAUGAGUGGCGUGUGGCAGUAGGGGGGCAGUGUGCAUGUUUGGUAUCACCAGAAUUUCUCAUUCAAGAGGAAGAAGAAUGAUUUCCCUGUGAGCGGGAUGGGAGAGGAGUGCCUGGGGAGGUAGCGGAGUCCGGUUCCCCGGGCCCCGUUCCAGUUGCGUGCGGGCGCUUUGCAGUGGGGCCUUGGCAUUCUGUCUGGCUGUGUGAUCUGUGCUCUUGUUGCAGGGUGAAGGCUGCAGAGAGGAUUGGCUGGAGCAGGUGUGCAGUUUUCCCAGGGGUGGGAUGAAGGAGGUUCAGGCUGGAGGCAGGAUCCUGGCGGUGUGAGCGGGGCGCCCCUGUGGAGCAAGGGUGGAAGGUGCGUGGCAGGUCCUGUCCCGGAGGAGUGGAGUUAAGGGUCCUGGUGUGGCUGUUUUCCUGCAUGGAAGAUGGAGAUCCUGGGAGCUGCGAUGAGGAGGAGCAGAGCCAGCAGAGAUGUCUCUUCCCUGGGUGCUGGAGUGGCUCCUGUGUGGCGAUGGCUGCUUUGUGUGGUGCUCCUGGGCUGAAAGGAGGAGGAGAAAAAAGUUUUUAGUGUGGUUCUUCAAAGCUCAGGUAUGCCCCUGAAAUACUGGUACUGGAGUCAGCCUCUGCAGGGUCUAAGUGGGUGCUGAGGGGUCCUUUCUCUGGAAGAACUACUGGCUGGUGACGGCUUCUUGUAAAGAUGGUUUCUACUGUGGGUGGAAAGGCUCUGUUCUACAUGUGGGAACGGGGAUGUGGGAAUGGGUAGGAAGCUAAAGCUCUUGUAGCUGUCUCCAGCUUAAAACAAAUGUGCAAUAAAUCCUUACUUACCACAAAAAAAAAGAGGUGGCACCUGCUAUUUCUGUGCUUGGGGCUUCUUCCUUCCCUGGCUGAUGCCAUUGGUUCAGCAAUCUUGAGGGAUGAGAAAGGGGAGAAAAAUGAUGCCUUUGGCCAGCUGUUUAGCAUUGCAUGUUCUGUAAGGAAAAAAAAAUAAAUAAAAAGUGAGCCUUAUGUCAAUAACAAAUGCUUACAAAUCACCUACUUCAACAGUACAAUGCCUCAGACUCACUUCACUCACCAG
ensembl:lncRNA